rnacentral:rRNA from 1 species
AACGAACGCUGGCGGCGUGCCUAAUACAUGCAAGUCGAGCGAACGGACGAGAAGCUUGCUUUUCUGAUGUUAGCGGCGGACGGGUGAGUAACACGUGGAUAACCUACCUAUAAGACUGGGAUAACUUCGGGAAACCGGAGCUAAUACCGGAUAAUAUUUUGAACCGCAUGGUUCAAAAGUGAAAGACGGUCUUGCUGUCACUUAUAGAUGGAUCCGCGCUGCAUUAGCUAGUUGGUAAGGUAACGGCUUACCAAGGCAACGAUGCAUAGCCGACCUGAGAGGGUGAUCGGCCACACUGGAACUGAGACACGGUCCAGACUCCUACGGGAGGCAGCAGUAGGGAAUCUUCCGCAAUGGGCGAAAGCCUGACGGAGCAACGCCGCGUGAGUGAUGAAGGUCUUCGGAUCGUAAAACUCUGUUAUUAGGGAAGAACAUAUGUGUAAGUAACUGUGCACAUCUUGACGGUACCUAAUCAGAAAGCCACGGCUAACUACGUG